GAUUGUAAAGGGAUAAGGCUCCAUCUCUCUCACCAUAGAGAAGAUUAUCCUGAACCCUCUUUAUAUCUCUUUUAUUUACAUGAAGUCUUAUUCAGAAUUGAUCUCUGUGUUUUCUCUGUUCAUGGCUGAGUAGUCAACUUGCUUAGUAUAGGGUGUUCGGGUGUUAGAUCCGUGAGUUAAACAUAGAUAAGUGAAACCAUUGAUUGUCUUCAUUCAUAACUGUUCUUAAUGCUUGCAUUAAUCUGGCCGCUUAAUGUUAGAUCCUAGGUUUAACCUGUUCAUUAACCGUGUAAUAGGUUGCUAGAUCUGUUAUGAAUGAGCCUAGCAUCCCUAAUCAGCGAAAGUAGAUAUUAGGGUGUUUGGUGAACCUAUCGGACUUGAUCUCUAUUGCCUGCUGUCGCAUCUUGAUCCAAACGAGAGUUUAGGUAUCAAGAUCGAUCAGCAUAGGGGGCAGUUCCACGACAGUGGGCUGUUCUACUUGAGUGAUCCGAGUUCUAGACUUGCUCUUAAUUAAACUUGAAUAAUUAUUUGUCUCACACUUGCUUAACACCCGACUAAACCACCCUAAGCUAGCAUUUUAAUCAUCUGAAAUCUUUAAUUAAUCUUUUUACUUGCUUGUUACGAAAUCAACUUUAAAACCCCCAUAUUGUUUUAGCUUGAUAUUGAUCCCAUAAAGAUAAAGUGUAAUAGUUGGUCUCUGUGGAUUCGAUCCUAAAGUGCUACAUCGACAUACCAUUCGAUUGUGGUAGUGUGCACAUUAGGUUAUUUGGUCUGCGUAUACACGUAAUAUCAACCAUGCAUACAACAUAGUCAAAAUGUAGGAAUCUUAGCAUUCCGGUGUUUGUUCAAACGUUCUCCAUACCACAUCAUUGCACCACAAUGUGUACAUGUGUAUAUUGGAUCACCUUCAUCAGUAUAUUCUGAAUUUAAAACAUCAGCAAGCACAUUAGGCACAUACUGAUAAAAACAAACACUUAAUAAAAAUUAGUUAAAAAAGACAAUACCAUCUUUGUUUUGUCCUUUUUAGCUGCUGUAGAUUUUUCUGUAUUAAUUAAAUAAUAUUCAAAAGAUGGAAGAUCAACAUCAGUUUCGUUCUCUGAAUCAGUAGUAUCUAGAGAGCUACAGUCGAAUUCUAGUUCACAAGCGUCAUUUAUAUUUACUGAAAACCAAACGAAAAAAGCUUAGAUAUAAAUAUUAGCAUAGAAAUGAAUGAUUACAAAUAAGAAGAAGAAAAUCAGACAAGAGACCUCCAAAUUCAGUAUCUGGAAAAAUUGUUGAUGUUGGUGAUUCUUGAUUUUCAGUACCCAAAGACAAGUCAAUAUUUGUAAUAUCUUUCAAAACAUCUGAUAUCCUCUUUCUUUGUCUCUUAUCAGAAAAUUUCCUAAAUGAGUUCUCAUUUCUCUUUUUCUGGAUUGAUGCUAAAGGCAUGAAAAACAUGGAAGUCAGGGUUAUUUCCAAGGUCGAAAUGAAAUAAAGCAGGUCUUGAGCUAUACAAAAGAGAAUAACAUAAAGGUGUUAUCUACAUGAAGGCAAAACCAUUAACCAUACAAAGUAACAUGUAAUUGAUUAUGACUUACAUUUUGAGGAUGUCAAACAACUGCUCUGUUUUGGCGUGGUCAGGAUUUGGUCAGUAGGUGUAUCAAUUCCUAAAAGGAAUGAUACACAAAAUAGUUGCAUGUUAUAACAUGUAGCAAACUCCUAUAUUUAAAAGCAGUAAAAUCGAGUUAGAUGCUACACUUACCAAGUUGCAAUCUCCUUAUAUUUCUUGGUGUUUGGGGUGAUGGCAUGCUGACUUGAUGAUAUAACGAAUAUGUAUUACAUGGAACAAUCCGGUUUUCAAUACCCUCAAACAGUCUGUAAUAUACUGAUCGCAAUGGAAUGUCUGGAUUUUUGAUGUAAUUAGAGCAAAACUGAAUUGCAUUGCUGAAUGUUUUCUUAGACUUUAUGGUCUCAGGAGUGAUAUUGCUACCAGUUCGAUCUCCGUUAUGAUCAUAUGUUUUUUGCUUCUUCAUAAUUCGACUUCUUAAUACUGUAACUGGUUCACGCUGAGAUGUAUUUGCUGAAUAUGUAGGAGGAAGGAGUCGGUUAAAGUCGUUUAUGUUUUGGUUAAAAAAUCACAAUUUUGAUUUUUAAUAACCUAAGAAUUAGGAUUCUAGUUAUUUUGAAUAAUGUAAAUAUAGGAAGUAAAUAUAUCAGCUAAUAUUCUGGAAUCCAGAUUUUAUAUAAUUGAUAUAUCUUUCAUAGAAUUUUUUUUUAUAAAACGUUUAGGGUUGUUGUACAUCUAAGAAUUAAUUUUUUUUUUUUAAUUUUUAGAUUCAAAAUUUGUUGUGGUAGAUCAUACUUAACAAAUAAACAUGUUUAUGUUUUUAUAAACAGGCCAACAUCACAAAAGGACCAAGGAAUUUUGACCAACCAGAUUUUCUUGUAUCAUAAGAUUGCAUUGGACCAUACGGUAUGUCUUUUUAUCAUACUAUAUAUAGAUAUUAGACACUGCUAGGACUGAAUGGGAAACUGUUUUGUUAAAGUGAUAGUGAAACUUGAUGUAAGUGUCAAGAAAAUAAUAGAGUCCAUGUAUUUUAAAUCAAUAUAUUGUGUUUAACUUAAUCAAUAAAUACGAAAAUACAAUUUAUAAAUCAUUUAUUCUUUGAGAAAGUAUAAAUAUUUUCAACCGAUCACAUCUUAUUCAAAUAAUCCAAAUAAGUAAAACUAAAAAAUAGAAAAACGCAUUAUUCAUUGAGAAAGUAUAAAUAUGGUUCAAAUAAUCCAUAUUAUUCAAAUCAUCCAAAUAAAUAGAACAUCAAAUAGAAAAACACAUUAUUGUUUCUGAAAAUAAAAGAAAGCUUAAACCAAGAGACAAAAAUAGAAAAACAACUUAAAAAUAAAAGCAAAUUGAAAUCUGCAGAGUUACUCUUCCUUCUUCUUUUCCACUUUGAUGGCGCUGCAUAACUUUUUUGAUGUCGAACUUAUGUAUGGGAGAUCAGCAUCUUCCUCUUUGCGUUUUGGGAAAGGUGUUUUGCAUUCUUCUGAUUCAUUCUGACUGGUACCUUCCAACAUGAGCACCUAAUAUACAGAAUUACAUAAUCAUCAAAUUUAUAAUCUAAGAUAAAAUCAGAAACAUACAAAUGUAUGUAUAAUAGUGGUAACAAACUCACACUUCUAGAGGACAUGGAAGAAGAUGAUGUGCCAUCAUUGAGAUUGGCUCGGACUGGGAUUCUUUUUCUAAAAAUUUAUCUCCAGACCAGACCUCGAGAAUUUUGAAUGUGUAUGCCCCAUUUGUCACAUUGUCAGAUCCUACAAAAAUGCCAAAACAAAAAUACUUCCCAACUAUCUCUUUGAUAGGUUAUGGUAGGAGCUCUGGAUCUUCAAUCUGUGAUGAGUUUUAAGUAAAUCAGGUUUACGCAUAUUGAAAACACAUAUUUUCAUUUCUACAACCGAAAAUUACCUCAUCAUAGGUGCCAUCCCACAGAUCAACAGCAUCAUGUCCAACAAUGGUAUUAGCAACAGUGUUAAGCAACAUCAAGUUACAUGUUUAUGUGUCAUUUCUCACAAUCAAAUGAAGCUUGAAUCUAUUAGAGUAUAGGGAAAUAUAUUAGAGUGGUCCUAAAAUUUUAAGAAAAAUGAAAUAAGGAAUUGAAAUAAGAAAGUAAGUUCUUACACAUGUAUCACUUCAGUGAUAUUAAAUUGACAUUUACCACAACGCCAAAAUUGUUUCUCAUCAUAGUUUGACUUUGAAGGAAUAAUCUUACCAAUUUUGGUAGCACGAUAUUUGCAAGUUGUAUGUCCAAAAUAGAACCAUGCCAAUCAGUGUUAACAGAUUCAAUUGAACAAAUGAUUUUGCAGUUAAAUUCCUGCAAUCAUUUAUUCACACAUUUAGAUAUAAUUAUUUCUAAUCAUGUUAUAUUUAGAAACGAAAAUACUAAUUGAAAACUUUACUAAUACAAUAUCUACUUUAUGAUAUUACCUGAUCUGCAACAAAGAGUUCAAAAAUCAUCUUGAUAUCCAAGUCGUUCCAAUCAUCUUCUUGUAAAACAACCUCUCUUUUACCAUUUUGUUUCUCAAUAAAAGCAAGAGGGAGUUCGUCUUCCAUCAGCCUAUACGUAAAUUUCAUAUAUACAAUAUAUAUGUAGACAAUAUAAAUAUAAAAGUAACUAUUAAUAUAAUCAAAGACUUGUUUAGAUAAUCAAAACACUUACUUUUCCAUGAACUGGAAUGCCUCUUCCAUCGUUGGAUCAAGAUAAACAAUGGAUGCAUCAAAUGCAUUUGUUAUUUGGACCUCACCUAUAUAAAUUUAGAUAGAAUUGAGCACAUAAAGAUUUUCAAUAUAAGUUUGGAUAUAGUCUGAAUAGGCGUUUAUAAAAGUACCUCUGUAGAAACCAAUUUUGGCGAACAUGAUCAAACAGACCAGUGGUUGUAAACGUUCAACAUAAACCUCCAAUUGCUAAGCAUAUUUCCUCCACAAACAACAUGCAAGUUCCUUACCACUAAAGUAGACAAAGCUAUUAGUAAAAGUAAAUUAAAAUAUUGUGUGUUCAAAGACAAAAACAAUUAAAACAAAACUUACCUUGAGUCAACCAAACGAAAUUGAACUACCUUCCGGUCAUGUAAUUUCACUUGCACGGUUUUAACUGGUUCAAGGCUUACGAUUUUUCCCAUCACAUCUUUAAGAAAAAAAAACCAUUAGUAUACAGAUUGACAUUCAAAACUACAACAUAGUUUUCAGAAACAUGGGCAUAUAGGUAUUACCAAUAAGGAAGUGGGGCUUUAAGCUCCCAUUGAUGAUGUCUUCGAAGCUGGCAAGAGAUAAAAAGAUGCUAUCUUGAAUUAGAUCGGAAUUUGUUAUAACAGUUUCAUCAUCGAUCGUCAUCUUGUAUGGAUGACUCGUUGGCCGAUAUUGGCCUGAUGCUUGUGAGAGAGAAAACAAAGUUAGAAAAUGCCAUUUCCCUAGAGGAAGUUUACGUUGAACACUUUUCAUUUGGUUUCUUUUGCACAUAGCAUGAAUCCUUUCACCCUACAAAAUAAGCACAAGAUAAUGUGAUUUAGUGAUAGACAGAAAUGAUGAUGCGACUUGAAAUUUACAUGUUCAUCAGUUAGAACCACUGAAGAGUCUAUCCACCGAAUGAAGUGUUUAGUUGCCAGGAAUGUAGCAAUUUGAGUUGUGAUCGCCAUUUUGUCUUGUAUGGCUUCAAGUCUUUGACACGGUUGACGUUCGCAUUGAUCAUCAUUUUUUUUUGCUUUGGGUUUGAUUGCAAUGUGAAUGUGAAUGGUAUUCUUUAAAGUAGAAUGAAGUAUAUAUAUAGAUAAGUAGGUGAGAUAUGGAUGAUAAGUAAUUUUUAAUUAGUAAUUAUAAAACUUGGUUAGCAAGUCGUGUGUAGAUAAGGAAUACGAUAAAUGUAUCGAAUAUUUUCAAAAGAUUUUCGUGUUUAAUUUUUUGAUUUUGUAGGUAAGUGAGAUAUGGUUUGAUCGAUUUAGUUAAUUGUUUUGUAAUCAAGCAAAUAUAUGAAAUCGUGAUUAGCAAGUAUUGAGAUAUUUAUUAAGUUUUAUAUGUAAGCUUUAAUGUAGGAGAUAACUAUUGCCAAUAAAAUCAGUAGAAUAUUUGAUUUGGAAAUCACGCAACAGUCUAUAAAUUCGUGAUUAUUAAGGAUUUUGGCAUAUUAUGUAAAGUAAUUAAGAUAUUUCAAGAUUUAUGGAAUAGUUAGUUGAUAGGUAAUAACAGUUUUAAAUCUUGAUAUUAUCAGAUGUGUUUAAAUCAAAGAUCUUAUUAUAUAAAGCUUGGUUUUUCAAAGUUGCUAAUUAACAUGAUCACGACAUGUGUCAAUAAUUUUUUAAGAUUGCGACAUGUUUCAAAUAUAUGAUCUCUUUUCUUAGGAUUAAAAGAGAUUUAGAAAAUAAAAGUUAUUAUUACAAAAAUAUCUGUUUUACAAUUCUUUUUAAGACUUUGGAAAAGAGCAAUUACUAUUACAUAGUUUUUUACAAUUAUAUAUUGUUAAAAUUAUUGGAUAGUAAUUUUUAUUUUUUUAAAUCCUAAAAAGUAAAUAAUUGUUAAAAGUUAUUUGAAAAUAUUUUUUUUGUUAAAAAAUAUAUAAUUUUCGUUUUUAAAGAUAAUAAAGAAAGAAAAUUGUAAGAGAAAAAUAUUAACUAAAAAAUCUAUUUUUU